rnacentral:rRNA from 1 species
UACGAAGGGGGCUAGCGUUACUCGGAAUUACUGGGCUUAAAGGGUUUGUAGGCGGCCUUGUAAGUCAGGUGUGAAAGCCCUCGGCUCAACCGAGGAACAGCGCUUGAUACUGCAAGGCUUGAGGGAGACAGGGGUAAGCGGAACUGAUGGUGGAGCGGUGAAAUGCGUUGAUAUCAUCAGGAACACCGGUGGCGAAAGCGGCUUACUGGGUCUCUUCUGACGCUGAGGAACGAAAGCUAGGGUAGCGAACGGG